GGGCCGAUAGCUCAGCUUGGCUGGAGCGUUCGGCUGAUAACCGAAAGGUCGCCGGUUCAAAUCCGGCUCGGCCCA
rnacentral:tRNA from 1 species